rnacentral:piRNA from 1 species
UACACAUAUGAUUGGUGAAAUGCUGAGU